rnacentral:rRNA from 1 species
AUGCACGCUGGCGGCGUGCCUCAUCCAUGCAAGUCGAGCGCACAGACGAGGAGCUUGCUCCUCUGACGUUAGCGGCGGACGGGUGAGUAACACGUGGAUAACCUACCUAUAAGACUGGGAUAACUUCGGGAAACCGGAGCUAAUACCGGAUAAUAUAUUGAACCGCAUGGUUCAAUAGUGAAAGACGGUUUUGCUGUCACUUAUAGAUGGAUCCGCGCCGCAUUAGCUAGUUGGUAAGGUAACGGCUUACCAAGGCAACGAUGCGUAGCCGACCUGAGAGGGUGAUCGGCCACACUGGAACUGAGACACGGUCCAGACUCCUACGGGAGGCAGCAGUAGGGAAUCUUCCGCAAUGGGCGAAAGCCUGACGGAGCAACGCCGCGUGAGUGAUGAAGGUCUUCGGAUCGUAAAACUCUGUUAUUAGGGAAGAACAAAUGUGUAAGUAACUAUGCACGUCUUGACCGUACCUAAUCAGAAAGCCACGGCUAACUACGUG